UAAUACGAGAAUCUCGUAUUAUCCUCGAUUUCGAUAAGCACCAAGCGAUAUGAUACGCGUUUCAAAUCUCGGAUUUCAACUUAAUAUUUACUCCGAUUUUGGAGUAUUAAGAUAAUCCGAGAUUUUCUUGGAGUGGCUGCAUGCUUGAAUUUUCGAUAACACGCACACUAGUUAAUCCUCUUGUCAAAAUAAUUUCACGGCGGACGGACUCAAAACAUAAACAAGUGACAAGCUGCAAAGGCAAGAGGAAAUUUCUUAAAAUUUUCCUAAGUUGUUCCAGUUUCCCAACUUUAAUCCGCUUCGAUUCAGCUUCACAAUAUUGGCAAAAAUUCAUAUCAAAACCAACAAAAUGAUGGUACAUAUGUGUACAACACAUCUCUCAGAAUCCCGGAAGAGAAGUAUUCACGAGUUGGUGGGUUCGAGGAAACAUCCGUUUUCAUAAAAAUUAUUAAGAAGGCAACUAAAGAACUGACCGCAGUGGCAGGAAAGUGCAUGUAUUGUGAAAUGUGAAUAAUGGAUCUUGUGACCCGAGCUACACCGAUGCUUCUAAGACUUGGGACUCGACGAAUGGAGGGAGGUACCACCCGCUUGAUGAUCGUGGGACUGCUGCCAGUGGUUGAUUGCCAGACUAACAUCGUCGUUGGCCUUUUCCGCUAACGUUUCGACUAGCAGGAACAUUUUUUUUCGAGUCUACUUCCUUGGCCCCAGGAUGGUGGUCUGCUGGUGCUAAGCAAUUCGUCGAUAAAUUUAUAUGUACUGAUUAGUUUAUUAAAUUAUAAAUCAUGCUCUUUUUAUAAUAAACAUAUAUUUAUUGAAAUAUAAUUCACACCAUUGUAAUAUAAAUACAAAAAUACACUAGAGCAGGAUUUUGUAAGGAAA